rnacentral:rRNA from 1 species
AUUGAACGCUGGCGGCAUGCCUUACACAUGCAAGUCGAACGGUAACGGGCCUUCGGGUGCCGACGAGUGGCGAACGGGUGAGUAAUACAUCGGAACGUGCCCGAUCGUGGGGGAUAACGAGGCGAAAGCUUUGCUAAUACCGCAUACGAUCUACGGAUGAAAGCAGGGACCGCAAGGCCUUGCGCGGACGGAGCGGCCGAUGGCAGAUUAGGUAGUUGGUGGGAUAAAAGCUUACCAAGCCGACGAUCUGUAGCUGGUCUGAGAGGAUGAUCAGCCACACUGGGACUGAGACACGGCCCAGACUCCUACGGGAGGCAGCAGUGGGGAAUUUUGGACAAUGGGCGCAAGCCUGAUCCAGCCAUGCCGCGUGCAGGAUGAAGGCCUUCGGGUUGUAAACUGCUUUUGUACGGAACGAAAAGCCUUCUUUUAAUACAGGAGGGCCAUGACGGUACCGUAAGAAUAAGCACCGGCUAACUACGUG